rnacentral:rRNA from 1 species
UGAUCCAGCCAUGCCGCGUGCAGGAAGAAUGCCCUAUGGGUAGUAAACUGCUUUUAUACGGGAAGAAAAAGAGCUACGUGUAGCUUACUGACGGUACCGUAAGAAUAAGGACCGGCUAACUCCGUGCCAGCAGCCGCGGUAAUACGGAGGGUCCGAGCGUUAUCCGGAAUUAUUGGGUUUAAAGGGUCCGUAGGCGGGCCGAUAAGUCAGGGGCGAAAGUCUGCCGCUCAACGGUAGAACUGCCUUUGAUACUGUCGGUCUUGAGUUAUAGUGAAGUUGCCGGAAUAUGUAGUGUAGCGGUGAAAUGCAUAGAUAUUACAUAGAACACCGAUUGCGAAGGCAGGUGACUAACUAUAUACUGACGCUGAUGGACGAAAGCGUGGGGAGCGAACAGGAUUAGAUACCCUGGUAGUCCACGCCGUAAACGAUGGAUACUAGCUGUCCGGAACCUUGAGUUCUGGGCGGCCAAGCGAAAGUGAUAAGUAUCCCACCUGGGGAGUACGUUCCCAAGAAUGAAACUCAAAGGAAUUGACGGGGGCCCGCCCAAGCGGUGGAACAUGUGGUUUAAUUCGAUGAUACGCGAGGAACCUUACCAGGGCUUAAAUGCAUAUUGACAGUCUAGAGAUAGAUUUUCUUCGGCAAUUUGCAAGGUGCUGCAUGGUUGUCGUCAGCUCGUGCCGUGAGGUGUCAGGUUAAGUCCUAUAACGAGCGCAACCCCUACCGUUAGUUGCCAGCAUGUCAUGAUGGGGACUCUAACGGGACUGCCGGUGCAACCCGUGAGAAAGGUGGGGAUGACGUCAAAUCAUCACGGCCCUUACGUCCUGGGCCACACACGUGCUACAAUGGCAGGUACAGAGAGCAGCCAUGUCGCAAGGCAGAGCGAAUCUAUAAAACCUGUCACAGUUCGGAUCGGGGUCUGCAACUCGACCCCGUGAAGCUGGAAUCGCUAGUAAUCGGAUAUCAGCCAUGAUCCGGUGAGUACGUUCCCGGGCCUUGUACACACCGCCCGUCAAGCCAUGGAAGCCGGGAGUGCCUGAAGUCCGUCACCGUAAGGAGCGGCCUAGGGCAAGAUCGGUAACUAGGGCUAAGUCGUAACAAGGUA